GGGGAUGUAACUCAGUGGUAGAGUGUUCGCUUUGCAUUCUAUGCGAAAAUGCGAAAAGUCCAGGUUUCGAUCACCUGCCUCUCCA